rnacentral:rRNA from 1 species
UUCUAACGUGGACCCGUAAUCCGGGUUGCGGACAGUGUCUGGUGGGUAGUUUGACUGGGGCGGUCUCCUCCUAAAGAGUAACGGAGGAGCACGAAGGUUGGCUAAUCCUGGUCGGACAUCAGGAGGUUAGUGCAAUGGCAUAAGCCAGCUUGACUGCGAGCGUGACGGCGCGAGCAGGUGCGAAAGCAGGUCAUAGUGAUCCGGUGGUUCUGAAUGGAAGGGCCAUCGCUCAACGGAUAAAAGGUACUCCGGGGAUAACAGGCUGAUACCGCCCAAGAGUUCAUAUCGACGGCGGUGUUUGGCACCUCGAUGUCGGCUCAUCACAUCCUGGGGCUGAAGUAGGUCCCAAGGGUAUGGCUGUUCGCCAUUUAAAGUGGUACGCGAGCUGGGUUUAGAACGUCGUGAGACAGUUCGGUCCCUAUCUGCCGUGGGCGCUGGAGAACUGAGGGGGGCUGCUCCUAGUACGAGAGGACCGGAGUGGACGCAUCACUGGUGUUCGGGUUGUCAUGCCAAUGGCACUGCCCGGUAGCUAAAUGCGGAAGAGAUAAGUGCUGAAAGCAUCUAAGCACGAAACUUGCCCCGAGAUGAGUUCUCCCUGAGACUUAGAGUCUCCUGAAGGAACGUUGAAGACGACGACGUUGAUAGGCCGGGUGUGUAAGCGCAGCGAUGCGUUGAGCUAACCGGUACUAAUGAACCGUGAGGCUUAACCUUACAA